AGUAAUGCCUAGGAAUCUGCCUGGGUAGUGGGGGAGUAACGUUCGGAAACGGACGCUAAUACCGCAUACGUCCUACGGGAGAAAGCAGGGGACCUUCGGGCCUUGCGCUAUCAGAUGAGCCUAGGUCGGAUUAGCUAGUUGGUGAGGUAAUGGCUCACCAAGGCGACGAUCCGUAACUGGUCUGAGAGGAUGAUCAGUCACACUGGAACUGAGACACGGUCCAG
rnacentral:rRNA from 1 species